UCAGUUUGACGGGUUUUGGGUUUAGRAGUAAGAGGUAGGGUCAAACCGUCCCUCUUUUAAACUUGGGAUUUGUCGGAUGCACUUUUUCUUUGGCAGGUCAGCGUCGAUUUCAGGGGUUGUAAAAUACUUGGGGGAAAGUAGCUCUUCUUCAGGAGAGUGUUAUAGACCUUGGGAGAUGCAGCCCGUGGGAUCGAGGAUUGCAGCAAAUGCCUUUGGCUUGUCGCCUGAUCUUUGGUUGUUACCUCGUUUAUGACAACAUUCUUGCCAUCGAUUAGUACUAAUGGCUAUGGGUUAGAAUGAUCAAAAAU
rnacentral:rRNA from 1 species